GGUCUAGUAGCUCAACUGGAUAGAGCAUCAGCCUUCUAAGCUGAGGGUUGUGGGUUCGAGUCCCGCCUGGAUCA
rnacentral:tRNA from 1 species